UGGGGAAUUUUGCGCAAUGGGCGAAAGCCUGACGCAGCAACGCCGCGUGGAGGAUGAAGGUGCUCUGCAUUGUAAACUCCUGUCGGCCGGGAAGAAUCGGCGGGGUGCUAAUCAGCCCCGUCUUGACUGUACCGGCAAAGGAAGCCCCGGCUAACUCCGUGCC
rnacentral:rRNA from 1 species